rnacentral:lncRNA from 1 species
AAACUUUCACAGUUUCCAUUCUGAAAUGUUCUCUGUACUAUAAUAAAUAGUAAGUGAAUCAACUUACUACUAAAAAAAUUAGUAGACUUCCUCUUCGGAAUAGAAAUAGCCUAUUUCUACAUAGGGAAAGUCGUGUGCAAUGAAAAAUGCAAGCACGAUUUGGGGAGAGGUUUUUUCUCUAUUGUAACAAGGAAUAAUUAUCUACUCCAUCCGACUAGUUCCGGGUUCGAGUCCCGGGCAACCCAUAUGGAAACUAGAAAGGAGCAAUCUGAGUUUUGAUUUUUCACUCACUUCAUUUACAAAAUUUUUUGGUUUGGUAAAUUUUGUUGUAUGGAUAUACAACUGUCGGGGCUGGCUUGGUUGACAUUGGUAUAUAGUCUAUAUUAUACUGUUAAAUAACAAGCCUUCUAUUAUCUUUCUAGUUAAUACGUGUGCUUGGGAGUCCUUGCAAUUUGAAUAAACCAAGAUCUUACCAUGACUGCAAUUUUAGAGAGACGCGAAAGUACAAGCCUGUGGGGUCGCUUCUGCAACUGGAUAACUAGCACCGAAAACCGUCUUUACAUCGGAUGGUUCGGUGUUUUGAUGAUCCCUACCUUAUUGACCGCAACUUCUGUAUUUAUUAUCGCCUUCAUCGCUGCCCCUCCAGUAGAUAUUGAUGGUAUUCGUGAGCCUGUUUCUGGUUCUUUACUUUACGGAAACAAUAUUAUCUCUGGUGCCAUUAUUCCUACUUCUGCGGCGAUCGGAUUGCACUUUUACCCAAUUUGGGAAGCUGCAUCUGUUGAUGAGUGGUUAUACAAUGGUGGUCCUUAUGAGCUAAUUGUUCUACACUUCUUACUUGGUGUAGCUUGUUAUAUGGGUCGUGAGUGGGAACUGAGUUUCCGUCUGGGUAUGCGUCCUUGGAUUGCUGUUGCAUAUUCAGCUCCUGUUGCAGCUGCUACUGCUGUUUUCUUGAUUUACCCUAUUGGUCAAGGAAGUUUCUCUGAUGGUAUGCCUUUAGGAAUAUCUGGUACUUUCAACUUUAUGAUUGUAUUCCAGGCAGAGCAUAACAUCCUUAUGCAUCCAUUUCACAUGUUAGGUGUAGCUGGUGUAUUCGGCGGUUCCCUAUUCAGUGCUAUGCAUGGUUCCUUGGUAACCUCUAGUUUGAUCAGGGAAACCACUGAAAACGAAUCUGCUAAUGAGGGUUACAGAUUUGGUCAAGAGGAAGAGACUUAUAAUAUUGUGGCCGCUCAUGGUUAUUUUGGCCGAUUAAUCUUCCAAUAUGCUAGUUUUAACAACUCUCGUUCUUUACACUUCUUCUUGGCUGCAUGGUUUAUACGUUAGCAGGUAACCAUGACCAGAAUAGAAGAGCCUGACUCUCAAUGUGUACGAGGAUUAUAACCCAAUCCAGUUCCAACUUUCUCUACUGUGCUUCAACUAUAUUAUGAUUAGUCCUUUUCUUUACUAUCUACCGUCCUUCUAUUUUUUUUUAGUUAUUCACUGGAGCAAUUAUAUAUUGAAGUCAAUCUGAGGCAAGUGUUCGGAUCUAUUAUGACAUAAGGAUUGGGUGCCUAACGGACUUUUUUUAUCUUGGAUUUCUCCACGUAACAAAAAAACCUUUUUUUAAUUUAAAAAGCUAGUCUAUUUUUUUUAAGAGUAUAAGUCCCUAUCUAUAUCUACUUUCCUUGAGCAUAAUAUAGAUUUUUUUAUUCGAUUCCAAAUUCCAAGAUAACUCAUUAGAAUUAUUAAUAAGAUGGUCCUGAUAUAUUAGCAAUAUUUAUAUUGCCCCUUUUUAUUCGCUUUAUUACUUCUAUUCUAGACCCUAUCGUUUAUCCUUAUGAAAUAUAAUAUAAAAUAGAAGGCAGAGGAAAGAGAUAUAAUGAAAUUCUUGAUUCGAUCUUCCGACCUAAUUUAUUUGAUUAAUGGAUCAACAACCAAACCCCCAUUUUCUGAAAAAGGAGAGUGGUCUUAUUCAAAUUCAAAGCGCUUCGUAAUCUUCAACCAGUUCUGUGCUUCAAUAUAAUUUCCCGGAGUAAGCGCUAUAGCUUGUUUCCAAUACUCAGCAGCUUGAUCAAACCAAGCUUCUGCAAUUUCUGAAUCACCCUGUAGAAUGGCCUGUUCUCCCCGGUCGGAAUAGGUAGUUCCUUCCCCUAGAACCGUACUUGAGAGUUUCCUACCUCAUACGGCUCAGAAAUUGCUAUCUUAAUUUCCCUUGUCUUAACUGAAUUCGAUUUCUCAAAAAUCGAUCCAAUUUCUUCUUGGGUUACGCAGAAGAAGUUAAUUACCUAAGUUUCAAACCCUAAAUUUUGAUCAAUAAUCAGUUUGAUCUUUUCUCCCACCUGCAGAAAAAUGAAGCAUAGAUAGACCUAUAUCCUUCGUCCGAAUUUUCUGAAAGGUAACUAUCUCGGUUUCAUAUAUGAAAUUUCUAUAGAAUCCUUGAAAAAGACUUUUUCCCCAUAAGCAAGAAAAAAGAACUUACUAUCUUUGGGAUCUGAUACUACACCGCUGCUUAAUCCCUUAGUGGAUCGGCUCUAUUACAUAAGCGGAUUCCUAAAUUUUGCCCCAUAUCAUGGGAUAAGUAAGCAGUUUUUUUUAGUUGUAUCGACCCAGUCGGUCACUAAUUGAUCUUUACGGUGCUUUCUCUAUCAAUUUGAGAACUCUAUCCAUAGAGUAGUAUAGGCCAUACUUUCUUUCUUCCUAUUUUGAUUCUCGUGAAGUGUCCUUUCUUCCUACAGCUGAUAGGGCAAAAUCGUUGUUUUGACGAUCCCUAUGUAGAAAGCCCCCUUUUCUAGUAAAUACUAGAAAAUUUGAUCCUUUCUUAUUUUUCUUUCUAUAGUGGAGAUAGUCGCACGUAAUGACAGAUCACGGCCAUAUUAUUAAAAGCUUGUGGUAAGAAGGGGUUUCGUUCUAGUGCCCGGAAAUAAUAUUCCAAAGCCUUUGUAUGCUCUCCAUUGCUUGUGUGUAUAAGGCCUAUGUUAUAGAGUAUAUAACUUCGAUCAUAGGGAUCAAUUUCUAGUCGCGUAGCUUCAUAAUAAUUUUGCAAAGCUUCCGCAUAAUUUCCUUCGGAUUGAGCCAACAUCCGUUACGGUCGUUCGUUCUAUUCAAAAAAUCUCCGUUCCAAAACCGUACAUGAGGUUUUCACCUCAUACGGCUCCUCCCUUCUGUACAUAGUACUAAGCGAAAAAAUCUAGAGAAUAAAAAUAGAAUUAGUUCCAUCUCAUUAUGGACCGAAAGGGGCUGGUAUUUUUCCAAGAAAUCUCUAGCCAACCUUCCCACAAGAGGUUUUUCUUAACACCAAUGAAUUCUAUUAAUGCUAGAGGAAAACGAUAGCUCCAAGAAUUUCUUUGUUCUCAACGCCUCCUAUUUAGAGGAAUUAGCCACUUCAACGAUCUUUGAUGGUUAUAGGGGUAUCCAAAGUACAAACUUGAUGGUUGUUUGUUAUCCCAACCAUUCUUCCCAGCCCUGAUACCAAUCAGGAAAGGGUUAAUUUCUAACAAAGUUUUUCUCUUGUUGAUUCCUAUUUCUAGGUGUAGUGCUUUUAUCCCCUAUGCUACCUAUUAGUACUAGUAGAGUAGGAUUAGCCUGUAAUACAGAACCUAUCCUGUAGGUGUAACCUUUCGCUCAAUACUAAAAUCUACAAUUGAAGCAUCCGAGGCCGCGUCAGUCGAGGAUACACGACAGAAGGAGUUGUUAGUUCACCUCACCUUCCCUAAGCGUGGGUUUCCCUUACUAAUUUGGUUUUCUCUCCGCGAACCCCCACUCUUUCUCGUAAAACCGGGGUGUAGGUAGGGCUAAAAAAACAAAAAAAAGAGUCAAAUCGCACCAUCUCUAUAAUAAGUAAAUGCCCUUUUUUCCCCGGAGGUUGUCGGAAUUAUUCGCAAUAAAAUAUUGGCUACAAUUGAGAAGGUCUUAUCAAUGAAAUUUCCAUUUAUACGGGAUCUAGGCAUAAUUCCCAACCCAUUCUAUCAUUCUAUAUAGAAUUCUUUUCAUUCCUUCACAAAAUAACAUAAAAAAAAAACAAAUCCAUUCAAUUCUUAUAAAUCGAUCCCUAUGCUCCAAAUGGAUAAGAGAGGUAUUUCUGCUCAGCCCAAAUUCUCUCUUUUUCCUUCUGUUUGAACAAGAAGAGAUAGAAAAUAUUUGACUAAGAUUGGAUUUCAUUCCACUUUCCUAUUUCUUUUCUCAACAACAACUUCUCUCAUCAACUAUUUCGCAUUUUCAAAGUCAUUAAUCGUCCCAUACCCUAUUUUCUAUUUGAUUGUAUGGGGUAGGAUACCUUAUGCAAACAGAAUUCUAGGGUUCCUUUUUUAUCGAAUAAGAAGAAUUCUUCCAUUCUCUUUUUCUUUGGUUUGGGGAAAACCCAAACUAAAACUUUUCGAGGGAGCGGAAUUCCUAGUAAAAAAAUCCUGGACCCGUCCACUUAGAUGAAAAGGAAUUUUUCUAUCUAAUAGAACAAUGGAACUCUCGCGCGGUUGUGGUUGUACCUGUACUGCAGGAAUAGGAAAACUCGCUAUUCACUCAGUUUUUUUUCCAUAAUAAGAUUAUGGAGGAGAGAUGGCCGAGCGGUUCAAGGCGUAGCAUUGGAACUGCUAUGUAGACUUUUGUUUACCGAGGGUUCGAAUCCCUCUCUUUCCGUUUUUCUUAAUUCAGCAACGUUAAUGAUUACAAUGUAUCAAAUCAAAUGACAAUUUAUUCCAGCAAUAAUACAAUACCUUUAUUUAAUAGAAAUUCUCUAUACCAAAUUACUAUGGUAUGUAAAAUACACAUAGAGGAAAGAACAAAAAACAAAAAGGAAUCCUAGGGUUAAUCCAUUUCUGUUAGGUGAAUGGGAAAAUACGAAUUAAGAGCCUUAGGUCGAUUUAGUUCGGGGAAAGGGGAAGGGGAAGAAAAUUCUAUGAACCUUUCCGUUUUUCCUUAAGUUCAAGUUUGACGAGAGUAAUAUUCUACAACUAACAACUCAUUUAUUUUGAGACCGACCCACUUCCUAUCCAGGAUUUUUUUUACUAGUCCUUUAUAUUGCAAUGUGUCAAUCGUCAAAUGCUUUGGCAAUUUCCCCGGGUCGGAUGAAGCAAUAGAAUUUUGAACCAGACGUUUUGAUCUUUGGUUAUCCUUCGUAGUAAUAAUAUCUCGGGGUUUGCAACGAAAACUUGGUAUAUCGACUAUACGACCAUUAACUAAAAUAUGUCUAUGGUUAACUAAUUGCCGGGCCUCGGGAAUGGUUGAAGCCAUACCUAAUCGAAAAAGGAUAUUAUCCAAACGCAUUUCAAGUAAUUGUAGUAAAACCUGACCUGUUGAACUUUUUGCUUUUCCAGCGAUAUGUACAUAUCUAAGUAAUUGUCGUUCUGUCAGACCAUAAUGAAAACGCAAUUUCUGUUUUUCUUGAAGACGAAUACGAUAUUGUUCUUUUUUCCCAGAAUGGAAUUUCUUUUUCAGAUUACUUCCGGAUUUAGGUGUUUUUCUAGUGAGUCCUGGUAAAGCUCCCAGACGGCGUAUUUUUUUAAAACGAGGUCCUCGAUAACGGGACAUGAAGACUCCUUUUUUUAUUGAAAUUUCAUUUUACACAAUUAAUUUCAUUGUAUUUACAUUACAGAAUACAUCGAAAUUAAAACUGAAUUAAAGUAAAGGAUAAACAGAGUAAAAUCUACUAAAAGUACCACAAAAAAAUGGAAUUUCAUCAACAUCUGAAUUUUUGUAUAUAUAUUAUUUAUUUUAUUGUUUUGUAUCUAGCAAAAUUGUAGGGUAGAACGACAUAAUAGAUCCUGGCUUCUCCAUUUAAUUCGGAGAAAAAGAGGUAUUUUUGUUCAUGGAACAUUGAUAGAGAAAAAAGCCGACUAUCGGAUUUGAACCGAUGACCCUCGCAUUACAAAUGCGAUGCUCUAACCUCUGAGCUAAGUGGGCUUACAUAACAGAAAUAGUGUAACAAAUAGAAAUAUGUAUAGUAUAGGAAAUCCGUAAAAUGUCAGAUCUUAAUUAUUAAUCUUAGCUAUUAACUAGUUCGAAAUUGGAAGUUCUACUUAGAAAAAAAUACUAGAACUUCAUAAAAUAAAGUUAGAUAGAUUUUUUUGAACUUUCUUUUUUCUCUAAUUCGCAAAUCUAUUUUUCUAAUAGAAUCUAUUCCAAUUUCUAUAUUGAAUUUGAUUUUAGAUAUUUUUAAUUUGAUAUGGCUCGGACGAAUAAUCUAAUACAUGGAAAAGAAUAAAUAAUAUAUAUACGAAAACAUAAUAAAGAGAACAUGCGAAUUUCUUGUAUUUUCAGUCCAUCAUUAUAGACAUUUUUUGAGAUAUUUUGUUUUUUUUGUUAUUUGCUAAUAAUUUAAUGAUUAAUAUUUCACUAAGGAGAACAUAGAAUCAUAGCAAAUGAAAUUGCUAAUUCUGAUUAGCAAAAAAAAAGAAUGAAUAUCAAGCGUUAUAGUAUGAUUUUGAAUACUCUAAAAAAGGAACGCGGUAGGUGGGGGAGAGAAAAACCUUGGGAUAUAUUGAUUCGCAUUGAAUUGCAAAUACAUCAACGAUAGAAUCAAUUCAAUGCUGAAUUGCAAUAAGCGGAGUCUCUCAACUAGAGACGAACCGCUAGACUACAUAGAGUAAUGAAUUCAACGAUUCAAAAAAAACUAACAGAUGGAGGAAAUUGCACAAGGAAUCCUGGUCUCAAAGAAAAAGAAAAUGGGGAUAUGGCGAAAUCGGUAGACGCUACGGACUUGAUUGUAUUGAGCCUUGGUAUGGAAACCUGCUAAGUGGCAACUUCCAAAUUCAGAGAAACCCUGGAAUUAAAAAAGGGGCAAUCCUGAGCCAAAUCCAUGUUUUGAGAAAACAAGUGGUUCUCGAACUAGAACCCAAAGGAAAAGGAUAGGUGCAGAGACUCAAUGGAAGCUGUUCUAACGAAUCGAGUUAAUUACGUUGUGUUGCUAGCGGAACUCCCUUCUAAAUUAGGGAAAGAAGGGCUUUCGAAAUCUAAUACACACGUAUAGAUACUGGCAUAGCAAACGAUUAAUCACAGAACUCAUAUCAUAAUAUAGGUUCUUUAAUUCUUUUUUAAAAUGAAAAUAGGAAUGAUUAUGAAAUAGAAAAUUCAUAAUUUUUUUAGAAUUGUUGUGAAUCCAUUCCAAUCGAAUAUUGAGUAAUCAAAUCCUUCAAUUCAUAGUUUUCGAAAUCUUUUUAAAAGCGGAUUAAUCGGACGAGGAUAAAGAGAGAGUCCCAUUCUACAUGUCAAUACUGACAACAAUGAAAUUUCUAGUAAAAGGAAAAUCCGUCGACUUUCUAAGUCGUGAGGGUUCAAGUCCCUCUAUCCCCAAACCCUCUUUUAUUCCCUAACUCUAGUAUUUAUCCUGUUUUUUUUAUUAAUAGGUUUAAGAUUCAAUGGAAUGGCGAUUUUAUGUAAACAGAGUAUCCUAUUUCCAUAGGCUCGAAUGACCCCUUCUCAUAAUAAGAAUGUGCACGGUCUGGUCCGGUAUGGAAUGAACUUAUAAUCUGAUGAUCGAGUCGAUUCCAUGAUUAUAAGUUCAUUACCCUAGCGCCCAUUCCCAUUUUGGGC